CCUACGGGUGGCAGCAGUGAGGAAUAUUGGUCAAUGGGCGGGAGCCUGAACCAGCCAAGUAGCGUGCAGGAUGACGGCCCUACGGGUUGUAAACUGCUUUUAUCCGGGAAUAACGCGCCUUACGUGUGCGGCUUUGCGUGUACCCUGUGAAUAAGCACCGGCUAAAUCCGUGCCAGCAGCCGCGGUAAUACGGAGGAUCCGGGCGUUAUCCGGAUUUAUUGGGUUUAAAGGGUGCGUGGGCGGACGCUAAAGCGUGCGGUAAAAGUGCGGGGCUCAACCCCGUCUUGCCGUGGGAACUGGGGGGCUUGAGUGGGCGGAAAGUAGGCGGAAUGCGUGGUGUAGCGGUGAAAUGCUUAGAUAUGAUGAAGAACCCCGAUCGCGAAGGCAGGUGGCCGCAGUGGAACUGACGCUGAGGCUCGAAAGUGCGGGUAUCGAACAGGAUUAGAUACCCUUGUAGUC
rnacentral:rRNA from 1 species